AGUUUCCACGUAUACAUAGUUCAACCUCAAUAUUAAUGUAUGAUCAUAAACUUUUAAAUUAGCAGUUUGUAUUAUAAUUUUUCAAAAGAAUUGUUUAUUAACUCUCGUAACAAACCACGCAAUUCUACAACCAAGCGCGGCCUCGUGGAGACAACACGUAACUGAUCCUUUGAAAUAUACAAUAAUAAACUCUUAUAUCCACUAUGCGAAACAACCUCUUGAAACAACCUCUCCUGAUGCAGUUAUGAAUGUGAUCAGAGAUGUAUCAGCAAGUAAACCAGUAAACAAAAUCGACAAACAUAAUGUGCAAUGUACAUUAUUGUACAAUUUCAUUAAAAAUCAGAAACUUUCACCCUGUGAUCCUCCCACCGUUCCGGAAUUUUCUUGAUGCUCGGCCCGUCAACGAAGCAUUUCGUGAUCAUAAGUAAAACCGUCUCGACAUCUUUCAUGGUGGACAUAUAGCCGAAUGAAAUUCUCACUGCUCCAGUUGGCCUUCCAUUGAUUAAAUCUACAGUACCGCCG